rnacentral:rRNA from 1 species
GACGAACGCUGGCGGCGUGCUUAACACAUGCAAGUCGAACGGGCCCGCUCUCUUUUUUGGGGGUGGGUUGAGUGGCGAACGGGUGAGUAUCACGUGAGUAACCUGCCCCCUGCUCCUGGAUAACUGCUUGAAAGGGCGGCUAAUACGGGGUGUGCCGGCUGGUCCGCAUGGGCCUGGUCGGGAUAGUUUCAUCUUCGGGUGUUUCGGUGGGGGAUGGGCUCGCGGCCUAUCAGCUUGUUGGUGGGGUGAUGGCCCACCAAGGCGGUGACGGGUAGCCGGCCGGAGAGGGUGGGCGGCCACACUGGGACGGAGACACGGCCCAGACUCCUGCGGGAGGCAGCAGUGGGGGGUAGUGCACAAGGGGCGGAAGCCUGAUGCAGCGACGGCGCGUGAGGGAGGGAGGCCGUCGGGUUGUGAACCUCUUUCGCCGGUGGUGAAGGCCCUGUCCGUUGCGGCGGGGUGGACGGUAGCCGGGUAUGAAGCGCCGGCUAACUACGUGC